UACGGGGGGGGUAAGCGUUGUUCGGAAUUACUGGGCGUAAAGGGCCAGUAGGCGGCCAACUAAGUCACACGUGAAAUCCCCAGGCUUAACCUGGGAACUGCGUGUGAUACUGGAUGGCUUGAAUUCGGGAGAGGGAUGCAGAAUUCCAGGUGUAGCGGUGAAAUGCGUAGAUAUCUGGAGGAAUACCGGUGGCGAAGGCGGCAUCCUGGACCGACAUUGACGCUGAACGGCGAAAGCUAGGGGAGCAAACGGG
rnacentral:rRNA from 1 species